AGGACAUUCAGCGCACCCACACUCAGACAUUGUCUUAAUGCACAACCUACUGAGGAACCCAGCUUACACUGAGUAUCCGGUGCUGGUCAUCACUUCUGAUGUGACCUUAUACCAAGAGCUAAGGGUAUGGAAGUGUGUAAGAGUAGCGUCAUGGAACCAGGGCUUCCAGGGAGCUCCGCCAUUGAGCCUGGGCUGAAGAGACUCUCCUUUGCAUACCAGGGCCUUUUGGAGAUUCCUUAUGAUGUCAUUCUCAAACACCGGGACACGCUAGAGGUCCUGGACCUCAGUUACAACCUGCUGGAUGACUCUUCUGGGGGAACUGAACAAGCUAAGCACUCUCAUCCUGGAUGGCAACAAUUAUAGCACUCAUGUCAAAUUUCCUUACAUGCCAAGUCUCACCACACUGUGGAUCAACAAGAACAAAAUCAGUAAUCUUCCCAUCA